AUUCUAUAUAAGUUUUAAAAAAAAUAUUUUAGUCAUUAUUUAUUUUUAUUAUGAGAGUUCCUUAUUAUCAUUACUAGGAUAAAUUUUACUUAACAUGUUAUUGUCUAAAAUUAAAAUAAACUAAUAUAGUAUUUGUAUAGGCAAAAACUAAGAAAACAUACAUACAAGUAUGAAAAAAUGUGAAAGAAUAUAUAAACACUCGUGAUUCAUCAUUAUUCCUCCACGAGUAGAUAAUGGUUACACUUACAUUAUCGUUUAAAUUUUUUAAAUCCUCCAAACCUUCAUGAAUAAUGUUUUUUAUUUGAGGGAAAAAUAAAUAAUAAUUAUUGUAGAAGUGUAAAAAAUGGAAAAGAAAAUAUACAAUCAUUCAUAGUGACAAACUUUACAACUUUCAUGAAGGGUCAGCUUCGAAAUCCAACACUAUAAUUCAUAAACCUUAAAUUUAUAUUUAACCGUCGAUCGCCAUUUACGCUUUACUAAAUUUCAUUUUUAAAAUUUUAUUUUUUGAAAACAUGAUCAUCUGGCGGAUGUAAGAAGAUGAACAGUUCAGAUCUUUGAUAUCACGUUUCGAUAUUUACGGUUAAUUGAAAUAUGAGUUGAUGUCAUAUAGUUUGUAGAAACUCUAUAAACAUCAAGCAAUAUUUUCACUAACCGUAAAACUCUGAAUAUAAUAUCAACAAUCCAAACUCUUCCUGCAUCCUCUAAUAGAUCAAGUUUUCAAACAAGAAAAUCUGACAAAAUUUGAUGAGAAUAAUGAAGCGUAAAUGUAAACAACAAUCAACGGUUAAAUUUGAUCUAUGAUUUAUAUGAUUAUAGCGGCGAAUUUCGAAGUUAAGCUCUUCAUGAAAGUUGUAAAGCUUGUCAUUAUGAGCGUUUAUAUAUUUUUUUCUAUAUUUUUUUUACACUUCUACAUUAAUUAAAAAACUAUUAAAGACAUUAGGUAAGUGAAAAUAUACUUAAAAGAAAAAUAUUUUUUUAUGUUUUGGAUGCGACAAUAUGGUAUGUAUAUACUUAUUUAGUAUUAUGUUUUUCAUUUGAUUAUUUAUUGGUUUAAAAUAUAUUUUCCUUAACGGGUAACGGGUCGGGUCAUAUUACGUGUUAAUAUUAUUGAGUCAAUUUCGGGUCUGGUCAUUUUACCCGUUUAUUUUAACGGCUGUUAUACGACACAACCUGUUAAGAUAUUGGGUAUGACACGAAAACGACACAAACACGGAAAACAUGACACGAAUGCCAGGUCUAACAGAAACGUUGUCUCACAUAACCUGAUGCAACAAAGUGAGCUGGACAGGAUACAGUACAUGGGACGGUGGUUUUAGUGGUCAGUAAGUUUGCAUGACGAAUACUUGAUAUAGGACACUAGUUCACAAAAACUUUAUGCGACCAAGUGUUUGUUGCGCGGUGUCAAUUGUUUUAAUUAAUUUAAUUAAUUAAUGUUUUUUUUUGUUUUGUUAAUUUAGUUGUUUUCCUUUUUUUCGGUUCUGGUUACAUAAUUUAUUUAAAUAAUAAUUACUUUUUUUUAUUAAAAUUGCAACUAUAAUAAAUGGAGGGAAAAAUGACACUUAUAUAUCAAAUAAAAAUGUACGUACAAGUAAAAAGUUUAAAACUAAGAAAAAAGAAACCUAUAUCUAUUUGGUCAUUAAAUGGGGUCGUCUGCAGGUCAGGUUGGAAGUCGAGCUGCGAGUCAGUGUGCUGGGGAGGAUGACGAUUGGGCUAGUGGACAGGCUCGGAGGUCAAUGAGUUAUGUGGCUCGAAGGUGUAGGGGAUCAUAAUGAUGGGUGGGAGACGGAUGUCGUUCGAGCUGAGGGCCUCAACAAUCAAUGCGAGCUUACUCCUCUAGUCGGCCAAUUCAUGCGUCAAUUCAGUGAUGCUGGGGCCUUAUGGUUGCGAUGAUGAUGAAGCCCAGUAGUGCAUUGACGAGCCUGCCUCAUUCACCAACAAUACUUCCCCGACCUCAUCCCAAAGGUCGCAUCCAAGGUCUCAAUCAAAAUCUGAAACCCACAUCUUUGACCGGAGUCACGGACUCGAUAAGAGUGCCUGGGGGAAGCUAGGAGGCAAACUCCUGAAGGACGAUGUAGGUCCUCUCCACCAUCGUCGACUAUGACAAUAAGACAGAAGUGGAUUGGUAAGAAUUAAUAUUAAAUUAAAUUUUGUAAUUUUUGGAAGCGUAAAAUAGGAAAUUGAAAAGAAGUACUUAUGUGCAGUUGAUCGGCAAGCUCAUCCCCUGGCCGAACAUAAACGUCCUUAAAGAUGUCUAUCCCCCCUAGAAUAAAAGCAACAAAAAAAUAGAAAGACUGCAGAAAAUAAAUUGAAUAUUUGUAAGAAAUUGGAAGUACGAAUAUUAAACUCUCACUACCUGUCGUCGCGCCUCCAUCCUAUAGGAAAAGGGUCUCAAACCAGAAUGGUGAAGAGGAGUUUUCUUCUCCCGAUUGAUCUUGUUCACCUUUACCUUCUUUUGUUAACAUACAAUAAACGUAUUAGUAUAAUAUUUAAAGACAAUGAAACUAUAAUAAACUAUAAAACACACAGGCAGGCAAUUGUGAACAAAUGUUUAAGGGAUGAAAUAUCUAAAACGCAUCUUUUUUAAGAUAAAAAUCAAGUUUGUAAAUAUAUUUAACUAGUCAUUUAGCUACGUUUAGAUUUGUCUUCUCCAUUUUUUUUUUGGUUAAAGUAGCAAAUAAUUGCAUUUGAAUUAGCUAAAUUAAAUGGAUUUUUUUUUUAAUUUUACGUGGGUGGGUGGCGUUGGAUGCGGAUGC
rnacentral:lncRNA from 1 species